rnacentral:rRNA from 1 species
AAUCCGUUGGCGGCAUGCGUAACACAUGCAAGUCGGACGGCAGCGCAGUACCGCUUGCUUCUUGGGUGGCGAGUGGCGAACGGGUGAGUAACAUAUCGGAACGUACCGAGUAAUGGGGGAUAACUAAUCGAAAGAUUAGCUAAUACCUGAAUAUUUUCUGAGGAGGAAAGCAGGGGACCUUCGGGCCUUGCGUUAUAUGACGCGGCCGAUAUCUGAUUAGCUAGUUGGUGGGGUAAAGGCCUACCAAGGCGACGAUCAGUAGCGGGUCUGAGAGGAUGAUCCGCCACACUGGGACUGAGACACGGCCCAGACUCCUACGGGAGUGUGACAGUGGGGAAUUUUGGACAAUGGGCGCAAGCCUGAUUCAGCCAUGCCGCGACUGUGAAGAAGGCCUUCGGGUUUAGCAGGACUUUUGUCAGGGAAGAAAAGGAAUGCUUAAUACCUCUGCGUACGACAGAAACUGAAGAAUAAGCACCGGCUAACUACGUUACCUCGAUGAACUA